GUUCCUCACUCAUAUAUAUGGUGAUUACAAGUGCAUAGACAAUCAGAUAGUAUCUCCCGAGAAUUCACACGGACUCACAAACCUUAUCUAUCUAUAUAUAAAACAGAAGGUAAAAAGGGAGCAGGAAGCCAGUAGUAUUUCUAACACUCUGCCUGUAGCUCCAGCAGUGACGAGCUUAGAUUGCUACAGAAUUAUGUAUAGGAGUCGGAAGCAUCAGGAACAUCUAUAUUACUUGUCCACUUACUGCUUUCUGGACCAAAGGGGUAUCUUGUGGUUCCACAAGAGGCACAAGCUCUCCAGUACAUUCUUGCCAUGGUGGAUGUGUCUCUAUGUGCCCAUUGCAGUGGCACCGUGUGCGUGGGUCACUCUCUGGAUGUGUGUCAUAGCCAGUGACUAUUCGGGCAGCUCCAUGUGCUGCUGCGUAACACAGUGAUCGAACUAGAGAUAUACUAGAUAGCUGCUGGAGAACAUCUGCUGGCUGUGGCCCAUAACUCACUGGUUGAAUCCUGUGCAGCAAUAUCGCCAGCUCUCAGAUUGCGAGACCCAGCUACGCAAGGAGCUCAGAUCAAAUUAUGCCCAUGUAAUUUUGGGUGCACUACUCUGUUCAAAUAAAACAUUCUGUUUAAAGACAAAAUUGGGGCAUACAAAAUGGAAUCACAUGGUUUGUCCGCUCAAGGUAUAUAUCACGGGGUAAUGCUAUGGUACACACUUUACUUAGUAGGAGGUAAUAUCUCAAAUAAAUCUAAGCCGUUGAUUUUUUUUUGGAUUUUUAAUUAGUUAGUUGAUUAAAUAAUCUAAAAAUAGAAAGGGAAAUAUGUCAAAUCCCCUCACGGGAUAGAAAAGCGAGCGGGC
rnacentral:lncRNA from 1 species